AAUGAACGCUGGCGGCAUGCCUAACACAUGCAAGUCGAGCGGACGCAUGACCUUGGUUGCUGGGUUGAUGGCGAGUCGGGAGAGGGAGAGCCAUGAAUCUGCACGUGCUUUGUGGAUGGGGUUAACGUAGGGAACCUUACGCUAAAACCGCAUAUUCUCUGAGGCGGAGAGAUCGGGGGACUAGGGCCUUGCGCUUGAACCGCGGCCGAUGUCGGAUUAGCUAGUUGGUGAGGUCAAGGCUCACCAAGGCAACGAUCCGUAGCGGGUCUGAGAGGAUGAUCCGCCACACUGGAACUGAGACACGGCCCAGACUCCUACGGGAGGCAGCAGUGGGGAAUAUUGGACAAUGGGCGCAAGCCUGAUCCAGCCAUGCCGCGUGAGUGAAGAAGGCCUUCGGGUUGUAAAGCUCUUUCGGCUGGGAAGAAAUCGCGCCCUCUAAUACGUGGUGUUGUUGACGGUACCAACAGAAUAAGCACCGGCUAACUACGUG
rnacentral:rRNA from 1 species